AUUGAACGCUGGCGGCAGGCCUAACACAUGCCAGUCGAACGGUAACAGGAAGAAUCUUUCUUCUUUGCUGACGAGUGGCGGACGGGUGAGAAAUGUCCGGGAAACUGCCCGUUGGAGGGGGGGAACUCGUGGAAACGGUUGCUAAUACAGCAUAACGUCGCAAGACCAAAGAGCGGGAGAUCCGCGCAUCUUGCCAUCGGAUGUGCCCAGAUGGGAUUAGCUAGUAGGGGGGGUAACGGCUCACCUAGGCGACGAUCCCUAGCUGGUCUGAGAGGAUGAGCAGCCACACUGGAACUGAGACACGGUCCAGACUCCUACGGGAGGCAGCAGUGGGGAAUAUUGGACAAUGGGCGCAAGCCUGAUGCAGCCAUGCCGCGUGUGUGAAGAAGGCCUUCGGGUUGUAAAGUCCUUUUGUCGGGGAAGAAAGGCGUAAGGUUAAUACCCUGCCUUAUUGACGGUACCCGCAGAAGAAGCACCGGCUAACUUCGUG
rnacentral:rRNA from 1 species